rnacentral:lncRNA from 1 species
ACUCUUGGACUUACACCACUGGUCUGCCGGGGACUCUCUGGCCUUCAGCCACAGACUAAAGGCUGCACUGUUAGUGUCCCUACUUUUGAGGUUUUGAACUCAGACUGGCUUCCUUGCUCCUCAGCUUGCAGACAGCCUAUUGUGAGACUUCACCUUGUAACCAUAUCCUUAGGCUCUCAUGCAGUGGAAAUUGACAGGAGGCUGAGAAAGUUUCCCAGACAGGCUUUACUGGGGCUGAUGCUCAAGCACAAGGCAGAUUCAACGUGGGAGCAAGAAUUCUCCAGCUGGCUUCCGGAGGGCAGAUCUUUGCAGUGUUUUAAGAAGGAUGAUAUGAAGAUCAUGAGUUAUGUGAGUAUCUUUCCACGUAUAAGGUAGAGCAAGGCGGUUCAGGUGCAGUGAGAAAUCGUGUUGGUACAUACAUUGCAUGAUCAAAAAAUGACAGAUCAGCCCCUCCUGGGGAUUUUAGUAGUAUAAUAAGGCAAAUGGUCAGGAUUAGUUAUUCUCCUGGUCCUAUGAGCAUGCAGAUGAUUGAGGUUCACUCCCUGGGGUAAGAUGUCUGGUGGAAUGCUGCUUAUUUUAGUUUUCCCAUGUAGUAUGCAAGGCCUCAUGGUCAGCAGGUAUAUAUGGAAGAAAUACAUUAGUGGGGUUGGUGCCAAGUCCUGUCCCUGCUCUGUCUAACCAGGGAAUGGCAUGAAUGCACUGAGGAUGAUGACACUUAAUCAGGGGCGUUCUCUGUGUCAGGAACCAUUUCCACUGCUUUAUGUUCAUUCAUCCUCUUAAUUCUCAAGCAAUCACAUGAAGAGGAAGCUAUCAUCAUUGCCAUUUUCCAGGCAAAGAAACUGAGGACCAGGGAGUGACUUGCCUGAGUCCACUCGUUUAGUAGCAGAGCUGGAAUUGGAACUGGGUAGUUCUGGGCUGGCGUGUCCGCUGAAACCACUGCACAUCCUCCUCUCAUCAUGGUGCUUCUGGAGGGUCUUUUUCAAUUUUCCUCACAUCUAUAUGUAGAAGCUUUUUAAAAAGUUUCUUUUAAGUAUCUUUCGGGACAUUAUGCUAAUUAUAAUGUGCUAACAAUUUACAUCUGUAAUUAUGUAUGAGGCUAGGGAGUGAGUGACUCUGUAGCUUGGAAGGAGAUGAUUCAGUUAUUAGUUAUCAUGAAAACCACAUUGUCAAGUCUGAAGAAAAGCAGUAGUAUACCACCAGGUACUGGUGCCCAAAGGAAACCCAUCGUCUAAAUAGCUUCAAGGCCCAGGGAUUUUAGUGCUUAUUCCAGUGGCAUAAGAACAUAAAGGCAAGGAGGUAAGGCAACCUACUCAAGUGUGUCCCCAAAACUUUUCAUUUUGUUGUUUCACAAACAACAAAACUGAAAUGACAGUGCCUUCAAGCCAAUGGCAUCUUGCAGCCAAGUCAUUUGGUAUAACAUGGAUCCCAAAUUUUCCA